AACUACCUAGCUCAAUGGCUAGAGUAUCUGUUUAUAUUUGCAGGAGGUCCCAGGUUUAAUUCCUGGUGUGGUUA